rnacentral:rRNA from 1 species
UACAGAGGUCCCAAGCGUUGUUCGGAUUCACUGGGCGUAAAGGGUGCGCAGGUGGUCGGGUAAGUCUGAUGUGAAAUCCCGCAGCUUAACUGCGGAAUGGCAUUGGAUACUAUUUGGCUAGAGGGUUGGAGGGGGACUGGAAUUCUCGGUGUAGCAGUGAAAUGCGUAGAUAUCGAGAGGAACACCAGUGGCGAAGGCGAGUCCCUGGACAACUCCUGACGCUGAGGCACGAAAGCUAGGGGAGCAAACAGG